AACGCACAUUGCGCCCCUUGGUAUUCCGAGGGGCAUGCCUGUUCGAGCGUCAUUUAAACUCUCAAGCACCGCUUGGUAUUGGGUGCGGCCCCUAGGGGCCCUCCCGCAACCCGUUGGGCGGGACCGAUCGGCUCCGAGCGUAGCAAGAAUCUUCCCUCGCUACGGAGACCGGCCGGCCCUCGCCCGGGAACCACCCCCAAAGUUUGACCUCGGAUCAGGUAGGGAUACCCGCUGAACUUAA
rnacentral:misc_RNA from 1 species